rnacentral:misc_RNA from 1 species
AAAGUACGAUAUCUUAAGUGAAUCGCAACUAGCGCGACUCUUUAAAUUGUUGAACGCAUAAUGUGCCCUUGUGUAAUAGCUUGGGUGUAUCUGUAUGAGCGCCAUUUAUAAAAUAUCAUAGCACCUCGCUGUGGCAGUGGAUGUUACAAUUGUUUACGAUUGAAUCAUCUGAAAUUAUUGAGAAGGUAAUGGGAGUGGCUUUACUGUCAUGACAUUGCAAUUUCUUUCGGUGGUAAGAGUUUUGCCUCGCGAACUGAAGUGAUUGUACAUGUAAACUGUUAUCCUAUCAGUCGAGACUACAUUGAUCAUCUUGGUUGGUCUGUAUAUCGACAAACCGCAAUCUUGGCUUCAUAUCAGGUACGAUUACCUGCUGAAUUUAA